AUGACGAGGAUCUUCGUGCAGCGUGGGCCCGGUGGCUCCUCGUCCAACUCGGCUCGCUCAGGCUCACAGGCACUGCAGCAGCAACAGCAGCAGCAGCAGAACCAGCCAGCAGCUGCUGCCCGGGAGGAGGAGCUUACGGUGCAGCCGCAGCCACUGGAGCUCUUGGCUUCAGGUGAUACAACUGAGCAUCUACUUGAGGGUGGCGAAAGUAGUAGCAAUGAUCCUUCAAGGCUGGUUGAAACUGUGUCUGAGAGCUCAAGUCAUGUGGAAGAGGGAUCUGAGAGAGAGAAACCUCCCAAGGAUGACUCCAAUGUGACCGAUCCCCCUUUCUUGAUGGAGCUGUCAGGACUCCAGCUUCCGGAUCAGUUUGAGCAGGCGAAUCCUGUGCAGUCAGGCACUGUGCCAUCGCAGAUAACUGGAGCAGCAUCACACCCACCGCCUCCUCCGGCUCCACCACCAAAACCAUCAUCAUCUGGUAAUAAUGGGUUGAGGAGAAUGGGAUCUGGAAGCUCAAAUGGUGUGCGGAUUGGAUCUUCAAGAAGGCCAGCUGCUUGGCCACCAGUGGCAGCUUGGACAUCUGCUUCGGGUUCUCGCCCUUCUUCCCCUAGGUCACUUGCUGAUUGUGAAGGGUACAAUAGUGCAGAUGAGCAAGGUGCCUGUUACACCUCUAGCUAUGAUGAUUCGGAAAGGGAGCAUAUGUUCGAACAUGACCUAAGGCGAGUGAAAGGGUUUGAAAUAAGAAAGAUGGCAGCAGAUGGGAAUUGCCUGUUCAGAGCAGUUGCUGAUCAAGUUUAUGGUGAUCCAGAAACUUAUGAUAUGGCUAGGCAGAUGUGUGUUGACUAUAUGGAAAGGGAGCGGGAUCAUUUUUCUCAGUUCAUGACGGAAGGCUUUACACCAUAUUGUAAAAGGAAAAGAAAAGACAAGGUAUAUGGCAAUAACAUUGAGAUCCAGGCAUUUGCUGAGAUGUACAAUCGUCCAAUUCACAUAUAUUCAUACAGUACAGAGCCUAUUAACAUUUUUCAGGGAAGUUAUAACACAGAUGUUCCUCCGGUUAGGUUAAGUUACCAUCACGGUAACCAUUAUAAUUCAGUUGUUGAUCCUCGUCGGCUGACAGUUGGGGCAGGCCUUGGAUUUAGCUCCCUUAGAGGGACCAACAGUGUUGACAGAGACCAAGUGAAGGCUGCAAUAAAAGCUCAGCAAGAUCAGCAGAUUGAGAACGCACUUUUGGCUGAAGGGCGACUCUACUCUGAUCUGGAGUUAACUGAGAAGGAAAUAGAGCGGAUGGUGAUGGAGGCCUCUCGGGCAGAGUAUCUGAACCAGCAGCAAGUUAACUUCAGAGAGUCAUCAAGGUCAGGGGCAGAGCCAUCUUCCUCCGCCGCAAUUAGUGGAUCGUCUGGUUCGGCGGCAGCUGCGGAUAGAGGCACUGAGAAUUGUUUCGUACUCCCAGACACCGUGCUGACUCGCAGCAUGCAGUUGCUCCUAGCAAUGGGCUUUAGCUACAUGCAAGUGAUGGAAGCCUACAGUAUAUUCGGUGAGGACAUGGACUCGAUGAUCUGCUACCUGGUGGAGAUGGGAGGCACCGGAGCCUCCCCAGGCGGCAGCAACCGCCGGAAAGGGAAGGCUGCUGAGUGA
rnacentral:rRNA from 1 species